AGCGAACGCUGGCGGCAGGCCUAACACAUGCAAGUCGAACGAACCUUUCGGGGUUAGUGGCGGACGGGUGAGUAACACGUGGGAACGUGCCUUUAGGUUCGGAAUAACUCAGGGAAACUUGUGCUAAUACCGAAUGUGCCCUUCGGGGGAAAGAUUAAUCGCCUUUAGAGCGGCCCGCGUCUGAUUAGCUAGUUGGUUGAGGUAAUGGCUCACCAAGGCGACGAUCAGUAGCUGGUCUGAGAGGAUGAUCAGCCACAUUGGGACUGAGACACGGCCCAAACUCCUACGGGAGGCAGCAGUGGGGAAUCUUGCGCAAUGGGCGAAAGCCUGACGCAGCCAUGCCGCGUUAAUGAUGAAGGUCUUAGGAUUGUAAAAUUCUUUCACCGGGGACGAUAAUGACGGUACCCGGAGAAGAAGCCCCGGCUAACUUCGUG
rnacentral:rRNA from 1 species